UCUGUGCCUGCAGAUGUCACAGAGGUGUCCCCAAUGCCAUCUGUGUGCCUGCAGAUGUCACAGAGGUGUCCCCAAUGCCAUCUGUGCCUGCAGGAGCUGUGCAGGUGCCUGAGCACAGGAGCUC